rnacentral:rRNA from 1 species
GACGAACGCUGGCGGCGUGCCUAACACAUGCAAGUCGAACGGAGCCAGCCCCUUCGGGGACUGACUUAGUGGCGAACGGGUGAGUAGCGCGUGAGAAACCUGCCUUUCAGUGGGGGACAACAGUUGGAAACGACUGCUAAUACCGCAUAAUGUCAUUUGGGGGCAUCCUCGAAUGACCAAAGAUUUAUUGCUGAAAGAUGGUCUCGCGUCUGAUUAGCUAGAUGGCGGGGUAACGGCCCACCAUGGCGACGAUCAGUAGCCAGUCUGAGAGGAUGAACGGCCACAUUGGGACUGAGAUACGGCCCAGACUCCUACGGGAGGCAGCAGUGGGGAAUAUUGGGCAAUGGGGGAAACCCUGACCCAGCAACGCCGCGUGAAGGAAGAAGGCCUUCGGGUUGUAAACUUCUUUUACCAGGGACGAAGAACGUGACGGUACCUGGAGAAAAAGCAACGGCUAACUACGUGCCAGCAGCCGCCGUAACAC